rnacentral:misc_RNA from 1 species
GUGCUCCGGAAAAAAAACUAUCACCAAAUUUACUUUUUGUUUCCCACUGAUUACCAAAAGUUAAGGCAACUAGAGAAAAAGGCGACAGCUUUAAUGGGGGUAAAAAUUUUACUUUGUGUCCUUUAAACCAGCUUUUCCCUAUUUCUUUCCUGGAGAAUUCUUGGAGGCCUUCAACUUUCAUGGAAAGUCCUAUCAUAAUUCAACCCUUUCUUCAUCAUUAUCACUAAGAAAUCCCAAAAAUCUUUUGCUUCCUAAAUAGUAUUCCAAAUUACUAUUUCUUUUUCCCUCUUUCUCUCACUCAGAAUUUUUUCCCUAUAAUUAGUGGUGAUUUUAGGCAUACAUCAGUCCUUCCAUUUCUCCGUUUAGCUUGUAUUCCAAUAUGGCGUCUCAAUUAUAUCCGUGCCUUUUCUUUUCUUUGUUUGCUUGCUUUUUCUUCUCUUGCUCAGUGGCGUACACCAAUUUCUAUGUGGGUGGCAAAAAUGGUUGGGUUGUAAAUCCUUCUGAGAAAUAUAAUGACUGGGCUGGGAGAAAUAGAUUCCAAGUUAAUGACACUCUCAUUUUUAAGUACAAAGAAGGAACAGACUCGGUCUUGCUUGUUAAGAAAGAUGACUAUUAUAAUUGCAACACAAAAAAUCCUCUCAAGACUAUGAAAUCAGGCACCUCUGUUUUUCAACUUGAUCACUCUGGUCCUUUCUUUUUUAUUAGUGGAAAUAAAGACAAUUGCGAGAAGGAACAAAGAUUGAUUGUUGUAGUUAUAGCUAUUAGAACAAAAUCAGUCCCACCAGUCUCUCAGCCUCCUAUCAUAUACCCAAAUGUGUCAUCCCCAGUAGCUCACCCUCCAUCUAUCUCCCCU